UACGGGGGGGGCAAGCGUUGUUCGGAAUUACUGGGCGUAAAGGGCUCGUAGGCGGCCAACUAAGUCAGACGUGAAAUCCCUCGGCUUAACCGGGGAACUGCGUCUGAUACUGGAUGGCUUGAGGUUGGGAGAGGGAUGCGGAAUUCCAGGUGUAGCGGUGAAAUGCGUAGAGAUGCGGAGGAACACCGAUGGCGAAGGCAGCCCCCUGGGCUAACACUGACGCUCAGGCACGAAAGCGUGGGGAGCAAACAGG
rnacentral:rRNA from 1 species